rnacentral:ncRNA from 1 species
CAAAGGUUUGGUCCUGACUUUACUGUCAGCCUUAGCCCGAUUUACACAUGCAAGCAUCCGCACCCCCGUGAGAAUGCCCCCCAGUUUUCUGCUUGAAAACAAGGAGCUGGCAUCAGGCACACCUAACCACUAUGCCCAUGACGCCUUGCUUAGCCACACCCUCAAUGGGAGUUUCAGCAGUGAUUAACCUUAAGCUAUAAGCGCAAGCUUGACUUAGUUAAGGCUAAGAGGGCCGGUAAAACUCGUGCCAGCCACCGCGGUUAUACGAGAGACCCAAGUUGACAACCUCCGGCGUAAAGCGUGGUUAAGAGUAAUCCAAAACUAAAGUCGAAUACCCUCAGAGCAGUUAUACGCUUUCCGAAGACACGAAGCCCCACCACGAAAGUGACUUUAACGAUACCUGACCCCACGAGAGCUAGGGCACAAACUGGGAUUAGAUACCCCACUAUGCCUAGCCGUAAACAUUGAUAGAACUAUACACCCCCCCCUAUCCGCCCGGGUACUACGAGCACCAGCUUAAAACCCAAAGGACUUGGCGGUACUUCAGAUCCCCCUAGAGGAGCCUGUUCUAUAACCGAUAACCCCCGUUCAACCUCACCCUCCCUUGUUUCCCCCGCCUAUAUACCGCCGUCGUAAGCUUACCCUGUGAAGGCCUAAUAGUAAGCAAAAUUGGCAUCGCCCAGAACGUCAGGUCGAGGUGUAGCAUAUGAGAGGGGAAGAAAUGGGCUACAUUCGCUAGUGCUAGCGAACACGAAUGAUUCAACCAUGCUGAAAAAGCAUAUCUGAAGGAGGAUUUAGCAGUAAGUGGAAAUCAGAGUGUUCCACUGAAGCCGGCUCUGAAGUGCGCACACACCGCCCGUCACUCUCCCCAAGCUCAACAAACAUGACCUUACAUAAAACAAUUUAACCCGCUAAGGGGAGACAAGUCGUAACAUGGUAAGUGUACCGGAAGGUGCACUUGGACAAAAUU